CUCCACUGGACACCCACCGCUUACUAUUCUUGAUUCCCUCAUUUGUUGAGAACUUCGAGUGCACUCGAUAAACUGCUCAGGACUGCCUUAGGCUCUGUGGAAAACUGCAGUAUAAAAUGAAAUCGAGGGGGUUCAGCACACGCCUCCCCAAGACGGGCUACUUUGGAUCAUCUUGAGCUCAAGCAAUCAAGACCCCAUGAGCUCAGAAGCAAAUGUUACCUCUCCCCUAAAGAAUUUAAAUGAGGGGCCUUGCCAAAAAUCAGUUAUCAC